rnacentral:rRNA from 1 species
GACGAACGCUGGCGGCGUGCUUAACACAUGCAAGUCGAACGGAAAGGCCCUGCUUUUGUGGGGUGCUCGAGUGGCGAACGGGUGAGUAACACGUGAGUAACCUGCCCUUGACUUUGGGAUAACUUCAGGAAACUGGGGCUAAUACCGGAUAGGAGCUCCUGCUGCAUGGUGGGGGUUGGAAAGUUUCGGCGGUUGGGGAUGGACUCGCGGCUUAUCAGCUUGUUGGUGGGGUAGUGGCUUACCAAGGCUUUGACGGGUAGCCGGCCUGAGAGGGUGACCGGCCACAUUGGGACUGAGAUACGGCCCAGACUCCUACGGGAGGCAGCAGUGGGGAAUAUUGCACAAUGGGCGGAAGCCUGAUGCAGCAACGCCGCGUGCGGGAUGACGGCCUUCGGGUUGUAAACCGCUUUCGCCUGUGACGAAGCGUGAGUGACGGUAAUGGGUAAAGAAGCACCGGCUAACUACGUGCCAGCAGCCGCGGUGAUACGUAGGGUGCGAGCGUUGUCCGGAUUUAUUGGGCGUAAAGGGCUCGUAGGUGGUUGAUCGCGUCGGAAGUGUAAUCUUGGGGCUUAACCCUGAGCGUGCUUUCGAUACGGGUUGACUUGAGGAAGGUAGGGGAGAAUGGAAUUCCUGGUGGAGCGGUGGAAUGCGCAGAUAUCAGGAGGAACACCAGUGGCGAAGGCGGUUCUCUGGGCCUUUCCUGACGCUGAGGAGCGAAAGCGUGGGGAGCGAACAGGCUUAGAUACCCUGGUAGUCCACGCUGUAAACGGUAGGUACUAGGUGUGGGGUCCAUUCCACGGGUUCCGUGCCGUAGCUAACGCUUUAAGUACCCCGCCUGGGGAGUACGGCCGCAAGGCUAAAACUCAAAGGAAUUGACGGGGCCCCGCACAAGCGGCGGAGCAUGCGGAUUAAUUCGAUGCAACGCGUAGAACCUUACCUGGGUUUGACAUGGAUCGGGAGCGCUCAGAGAUGGGUGUGCCUCUUUUGGGGUCGGUUCACAGGUGGUGCAUGGCUGUCGUCAGCUCGUGUCGUGAGAUGUUGGGUUAAGUCCCGCAACGAGCGCAACCCCUGUUCACUGUUGCCAGCACGUUAUGGUGGGGACUCAGUGGAGACCGCCGGGGUCAACUCGGAGGAAGGUGGGGAUGACGUCAAGUCAUCAUGCCCCUUAUGUCCAGGGCUUCACGCAUGCUACAAUGGCUGGUACAGAGAGUGGCGAGCCUGUGAGGGUGAGCGAAUCUCGGAAAGCCGGUCUCAGUUCGGAUUGGGGUCUGCAACUCGACCUCAUGAAGUCGGAGUCGCUAGUAAUCGCAGAUCAGCAACGCUGCGGUGAAUACGUUCCCGGG